CGUGUCACUUACACACUCACUAACACACACCGUGACUUAUACACUCUCACCAACACACACACAGUUUCACUUAAACACUCUGACUAACACACACUCUCACUAACACACAUUGUCACUUGCACACUCUCACUAACUCACACUGUCACUUGCACACUUUCACUAACAUACACUCUCACUAACACACAGUGUCACUUACACACUUUGACUAACACACACACAGCCACUCAAACACAAAUGUAC